rnacentral:rRNA from 1 species
UUUGAACGCUGGCGGCAGGCCUAACACAUGCAAGUCGAACGAGUGGCGGACGGGUGAGUAAUGUCUUGGAAACUGCUCGAUGGAGGGGGAUAACUACUGGAAACGGUAGCUAAUACCGCAUACCAUCGGAUGUGCCCAGAUGGGAUUAGCUAGUAGGUGGGGUAACGGAUCACCUAGGCGACGAUCCCUAGCUGGUCUGAGAGGAUGACCAGACACAAUGGAACGGGGACACGGUCCAGACGAAUAGGGGAGGGAGCAGUAGGUAGUAGGGGACAAUGGGCGCAAGCCUGAUGCAGCCAGGCCGCGGGUAUGAAGAAGGCCUUCGGGGUGUAAAGUACUGGCAGCGAGGAGGCGUUACUCGCAGAAGAAGCACCGGCUAACUCCGUGCCAGCAGCCGCGGUAAUUC